rnacentral:misc_RNA from 1 species
GAAAUGCGAUAAGUAAUGUGAAUUGCAGAAUUCAGUGAAUCAUCGAAUCUUUGAACGCACAUUGCGCCCCCUGGUAUUCCGGGGGGCAUGCCUGUUCGAGCAUCAUUUCACCACUCAAGCCUCGCUUGGUAUUGGGCGACGCGGUCCGCCGCGCGCCUCAAAUCGACCGGCUGGGUCUUUCGUCCCCUCAGCGUUGUGGAAACUAUUCGCUAAAGGGUGCCGCGGGAGGCCACGCCGUAAAACAACCCCAUUUCUAAGGUUGACCUCGGAUCAGGUAGGGAUACCCGCUGAACUUAAGC